GCACGAUCGGUGCGCAGUGACGUUUCGCCGGCGCGGGCGCCAUCCCGGAAGCGCGAGCAAGGCCGCCAGAUGUGCAGAGACGGGGGUUUCACCAUGUUGGCCAGGCUGGUCUUGAACUGACCUCAGGUGAUCCACCAGCCUUGGCCUCCCAAAGUGCUGAGAUUACAGGCAUGAGCACUCGGUCCAGAAGUCGGCCAGAAAUCAGCUGCUGUAAGAAGCCACUGUCCUGUCACAGCUGGAUAUUGUGUACCUGUUCAGAUUCACACCUUUGUGAGACCUGUGGGCUGUGGCCAUUUGUUGUGAGUUAGGUUCACUGGCUGUGUGACAGUGGCCCAGUUUCUCAGUGUCCCUGAGCCUCAGUUUUCUCAUCUAUAAAUAAGGAUAACAGUA
rnacentral:sRNA from 1 species